CUAUAGGAAGUAUUUCAACUCUAACAAUACUUCUACAAUUAUUCCUUUUAAUAGAAAUUCAAUGAUGCAUAUUGUCAGAGAAAUUCUCUUAACUGAAAUUCCUCUCAAACCUUCUUUUUAACUAUCAUUUGCUACCAUUCAAGAUGCAUAUUGUCAGAGAAAUUCUCUUAACUGAUCAAAUCAAUCAUUUUCUUUUUAUCUAACCCCAUAUUCUCAAUUUUACGCAGUUUCCUCCCGCUCUAAUUCUUGUUCUCCUUUUUCUGGGUUUUCUUUGUUGAUUGUUAGGGAUCAAACCGCCUUAAUUAAUCAUGUUUGCGAGGAUUUUCGGCAAACCCAAGGAGGGUACGAGUGCUGUUGCAACUUUGGACAAAUUGAGUGAGUUCUGGGAAAAUAAAGCCUGAACAUAUCAUCAUAUUUAGGCUCAGCUACCUCUUUCUUUCAAUGUGAACAAUUCAGCCAAAAUUGCCUCAGUAUCCAUUGCCGACUCAUGAACUUGUUCUGAGAUGUCUUAUUUCAACUGAGUUUGAGUUUUGAAAUUGAAUCAUUUUUCCCUAUUCAUUUGAUUCUCACAAUAUAGUCUUGAAAGACUAACAAAUUGUCUGAUUCAUGUUGUAGAUAAAUACAGUUGCUUAUAAAAAUAGACAUACUGCUGAAUUAAGAACAAGCUUUUUCUUGACGAUGUCAGCUUCGAUAUGCCGGAGGUAACCAAUACUGAGAGCAGUGAUGAUGUAACAUAUCGAUGUCCUCCAAAAACAGAGUUUUAGUGCUUCAUCAGUACUCUUGUCACAUAUAAGCAUUUUGAAUGAAAACUAGCUCAAUGGAAGUAUUCCAAAAACAUUGGGGCUUGUACGGAAUUUAACUGUAAUUCGUUUGGACAGGAACUCCUUGAGUGGAUCUGUGCCCCGAAAUUUGAGUCACUACUGUGAGUGAGCUCUACCUGGCAAAUAACAAUUUGAGUGGGCCAAUCCCUGACCUUACAAGAAUGACUCUCCUUACAUUUGUAGGGUUGAGUAAUGAUAAUUUUGAUGCAACGUCUGUUCCUCAGUGGGUGGGUUGAGGAGUUACCAAAUUUAACUACAUUAAGCACUAAUUCAACUAUUCAAGUGUUGUGUCAAUGAGAAACUUGAAUGAGUUUUAAGAUUUAUGGGGCUCAGUGGCUCGGAAGGCUAAAGCGGUCCUUGGAUGAUGAUGUUCCACCUGAACAAGCUGAAGCCCCUAGGACAGCUCGUCAGUAUGAAGAUAAUGCUGCUUUUGGACAGCAGUUAUUUGAUACUAGGAUGGCCGCCAUUUCAACCUGAGCAAGGCCGCAAAAAGCCAGACAAAGCUGUAUUACGGAAGGGAUUUGGUGCUAUUACUUCUUCAUUUAAUUAUCUUGGAAAUGCCUUAGAGAUGGGAAGCUUGCUUUGUUCCCCUAUUAUAUUGGUUGUUAUAAGAUCCACAAGGAGAAGAUUGAGAAAUGGCAGGAAGAGAUAAGGAGCUGAGGGCAAUCGAUGCAACUAACAAGGAAAUGAAUGAUCGCCUGAAUAAUGUCCAAUUCCUACUUCAAACUAUUCAUAUCGGCCAAUAAAGAUUCAGCAUUUCAGCUGCUAAUUAGACCUUGAUCCAUUGCCCUUUCGGCUGUGAAUCAUGGAUUUGCCUGUCGACAACCAAGUUCACAAGUGCAGGGAAUGACAGUGUCUAUUAAGGAGUAACCGUAUCAUUUUAAAGAGGAUUUGAAGAGCACGAUGCUGCAAGUAUUCAUGGACCAAUUAACACAUGGAAAUCAAAUUAUAUGGAUGGCUUACUAUUGAUGCAGUAGAAGAGGUCAGACUCCGUCAGAGGUCGACAUUUUCAUUCUACUAUCCCACAGAGAUUUUCAAAUGGCUAUCUGCUUAUCGCUGGGAUAACUGAUUUUGUAGCUGUGGUUAGAAUACUUGAUGUAACUCUGGUUGUUUCCUUACUGGACCACAAUUCCUAUUGCAAAGAUGAUAGUGACUUUGCCGACAAUUUUUAUGUUGAUUGGUUCAUUUCUUCUCUUGCAAAGGAUGUGAAAAUUGUGAAAAAAUUUCCAAAUAAAAUCACGAGAUCUAUGGAAAAGCCCCCCUAUACGAUGCGAGUGCCUAGAAAGUCAAACCUCGAAGAUUAUAUUGAACUUUUUGCCUAUGGCGCUUAUCUUGUGUAUUCCUUUACCUUUCUCAUUCCUGUCUUGCAGUUGCCACAGAUGGUUGGCUAUUAAGCAAUAAAAGAUAUUGGAAGAUUGGAAUCAGGAACAAGUGUUCACAUUCCAUUUGUUGCACUGAUAGCACACGCAAUGUCGUAAGAUAGACAAAUAUAUAGGGUGGUUGUCUUAGGUUUCAAGAUCAAGUGCUUGUCUACUUGAAAAUGUGUAUAGGUGGAUCCAAGUUCUAGACUCUAGAGCUUUUUCUUACUUCUGAUAGUUUUAUUUUUUUUAAUAAAUAUUGUUUAUAUGUGUUGCUGGGAAUGCUUCUUUUCGAAACUUAGGAAGAACACAGGUGUCACACACGUGUCAUCGUCAAGCUGCGGAACAGAAUCAGAAGACUUAGUUUAUUUUAUUAUAAACUGUUAUGCAGAGAUUGUACCCAAAGUUCAAAUAUUAAUAUAAAUUCAUUUGUUACUUUA